rnacentral:rRNA from 1 species
AGGACGAACGCUGGCGGCGUGCUUAACACAUGCAAGUCGAGCGGAAAGGCCCUUCGGGGUACUCGAGCGGCGAACGGGUGAGUAACACGUGAGUAAUCUGCCCCUAGCUCUGGGAUAGCUCAGGGAAACCGGGAUUAAUACUGGAUACGACCACCUUAGACAUCUUUUGUGGUGGAAAGAAUUUCGGCUAGGGAUGAGCUCGCGGCCUAUCAGCUUGUUGGUGGGGUAACGCCUACCAAGGCGACGACGGGUA